rnacentral:lncRNA from 1 species
UACACUUUCCUCCAAAAAAAUUAAUAAACUCAGGGUCUAUAUUAUUCUUGUCAGUAUUUGUUCGGAUAACUACAAGCAAACACUUUAUCAGGCUGUAAUUUUUAAGUUUGGUGUCUCCGAUCUUUACUUACUGGCUUCAGAGCUCUUGCUAAGCAUCACUCAUAACUUAAUGGCCAAUGACACAAAGCCUUUUGAAAUAAGAGGCUCUGAUGGGAAGAAAAUAUUUAAUCUUUAUCUGUAGGCUCACCACUUUGUACAUGAAGCACAAAUCUUAUUUGUUCAGACUAUAUCUUUCUAAACUUGCCAAGUCCAAAAUUACAGCACUCUAAAUCUCAUAUUACAUAUUCUUUUUUAAAGAAGUUAUCUUGGAUGUUUUCUUUCUUUCUUUUUUUUUGUUUUUGUUUAAAAUAUCUUAUUUUCCUGGACUGGGAAUAACAGUUGUAUGUAGCCAGAGGUGAGAGGUUUAGGUGGCUUAUAAUUUCUUCAGUCGAGAGCACCUUCUUCUCUUGGUUUAACAUAUUCAGUGAUUUUAAGAGAUGGAUUAUUUUAUGGAGGGUAUAGCGUUGUUGUGUCCUCCAACUCUUGCUUCUUUUUUACUUCACCACCGAGAAUUAUAGAGGAAUUUCCACCUUCCAAAUUACUCAUCUCUUCCCCAGAAGCAGCGCUUUAUCAAGACUGCCACAUCUGAUCUCUUUUGAUCUUAAGCACCUUUUGAUUCUCUUAUACAGGAGUUGGCAAACUAUAACCCAGGAGCUACAUCAAGUCCACUGCCUGUAUUUGUAAAUAACAUGUUAUUGGAACACAGUCACGCCUACUUGUUUGUAUAUUGUCUAAGACUACUUUCAUGCUACAGUGACAGAAUAUUGUAAAAAUCUACUCACACAAAUACUAAGCAAAAAAGAUAAGGAACUUGUUAAUCAUGUGGAUUGCAGGGUUUCAUGAAAUCUAAUAAAGUGAUUUUGGAUAACUAAUACAACCAAUGCAAAGCAAUCUACAAGUGAAGACACAAGCAGAGUGAGCGUGGUUAAUGACUGAAGAAGAGAAAUGGAAAAGAAAAGAAAAAAAGAUCUUUCAAGAGAGAAUAAUUUUGAAUAUCAAACAAUGAAGAGCUUUUCAGAAUUUUGAUGAAGAAAAUCCUUGAAAAUUCUUGCAAAAAUGAUACCCCUCCCUUUUAGACUGUUCAUUCAAAAUAUAGUGCUAUCAUUUAAUUUUGCCCAAAAAAUUACCCCCAAGUUAAUACAAUUCAUUCUUUUUAAUUCUAAAAAUUAGCUUAUACUUAUAAUUACAACCAAAAAUACGACAGUUAAAUAACGCUUUUUUAUAAUUUUUCGCUGUAUAUUUCAAAUCAGCCAGUUGGACCAAUCAAGUAUUGUCAAUGUUCAUUAUAAAGUUUUCACCCCACCUUUGGAAACCUCUCUAAAGGUGACUUUUUCUGUACCAAGUGUCCUUCAACAAAGAGGAACCUCCUGGAUCUCAGUGAUUAUGAGGGACACGACCUGGCAAAGGCCUUGUGACUGUUCUGAGAUUCAGUUAUACACUUAUAAAAUCACUGUGUUCUGUUUAAUUAUACUCAUGAAGAAAUACGAACUAUAAAUAUAACUAUAAAAAUAAAUAUAAACUAUAAAUUCCCUAUAAGCUCUAAGAUUGUUAUUGCACAUUUCAAUUUCUUAUAAUGAGUAUCUUAGAUCACUUUCAGGAAACAAGAAAUGUGUCAUUUUGGAAACUUUUGCUUUGUUAAUAUAUUUUUUAAUGCUUUAAGGUUUAAAAAUCAGCUAUCUGAAAAAAACCUCUUGUCUCAUUCCCUCACUAUGUCAGAUGCAUGAUAUGAAGAUUUUUCCAAUUAAAAAAUCCCAAAACACGUUUUCACAUUGUGGAAAACUUGGAAAAUGACAAAUAGGCAAAAUGGAGGAAAAAACUCAUUAUCUUUAUACCCUAAAACAAAGAUGUUUAAGAUUUUAUCACUAUUCCUCUAAUCUUCCAUGUGUAAAUUAUAUCUGAGACACGUUCCCAAGACAUUGACAGCCUUUUAUAAUCAUUUAAUCACAGAUGCAUGUAACAUUCUUUACUAAAUAUUCUUCCCCUUAGAUAUUUAAGUGGUAUAAAUAGACUAUUAUAAAACAAAAUUGUGUUCCUGUUGUCAUUGUUUUUUACGUAACUCUGCGAACUUUAGAUUAUUCUCCAAGGACAAAUUUGUGGAAAUGAAAUUGUCAGAUGAAAGACUGAGCAUUUUAAAAGUUUGUGUUUUGAAUUGCCAAAAUAUUAAAGAAACCAAUAAACCUAGGAAAAUACCUAACAGAAAUGUGUAGGACUAAUAUAAAGAAAACUUUAAAACACCAUUAAGGAAUACAACAGGAAUCCUAAAUAAAUAGAAACAUAUAACUUGUUCUUGAAUUAAAAAGAAUCAAAAUUCUAGGCUUGCAUUUAAACCUUGAAGAUCAAACACAUGUGUUUAUCUCUGAACUGUGCCAAAAUUCUACUGAAAUUACAGCAAUGGAAUUAAUUGCACAUAGGGCCUGAAAGGCAAAGAAACCGGAAGAGUUGACAAAAGUGACUUUGUGGAAUAUAGAAAGUGAGUGUCAGAGUUUUGCUGCUCUGAAGAGCAUGUGUGAGUGUGGGAGGGAGAUAUAUUGGGGACUGGGGGAUAGUUAAAAGCAGGCUUCUGAAGGCCAAAGUACAUGGCAGGGCUACAAGUGAGGGUGUGUUUGGUGUCUAUGGAAGCGUUAGACCCUGAGAUCUCUUUCAUCUGCCCAAGUAGCCAGGUCUCUGGUCCUGCCUAAAUCUUAUAGGAGGCAGGAAGCUUUCACUCUGAAGAAGUUUAUCCUGGAGACUUUGUACUCAGUAAAAUCAGAAACUGGUUAGGAAGAGAAGAGACACUUUUCCACAAGUAAGGGAUUAUCCUCCAGUCUAGACAUGUUGAUAGCUAAACUUAAAUUCAUG